UGACCUCGAUCAGGUAGGAA
rnacentral:rRNA from 1 species